GAAAGUCUAUGUAGAAAUGGUCCUGAUAGCAUAUCAGAGGUGAUGGUCACAAGAACAAAUAGCUGCCAAUCAGACAGCAGUGGAUUUAUGGAGGAGCUGCCAGAGCCUUCAGUUUUGCAAAAUGCAUCUUUGUCAGGAAAGAUAAAUCUUAGCUCUGAUACCCACAAUCAACAAAUGACUCUGUCAUAUAGCACAGAGCUUCCUAUGUUAAAUCAAAAUUUUCA